rnacentral:rRNA from 1 species
GCCCGCACAAGCGGUGGAGCAUGUGGUUUAAUUCGAUGCAACGCGAAGAACCUUACCUGGUCUUGACAUCCACGGAAGUUUUCAGAGAUGAGAAUGUGCCUUCGGGAACCGUGAGACAGGUGCUGCAUGGCUGUCGUCAGCUCGUGUUGUGAAAUGUUGGGUUAAGUCCCGCAACGAGCGCAACCCUUAUCCUUUGUUGCCAGCGGUCCGGCCGGGAACUCAAAGGAGACUGCCAGUGAUAAACUGGAGGAAGGUGGGGAUGACGUCAAGUCAUCAUGGCCCUUACGACCAGGGCUACACACGUGCUACAAUGGCGCAUACAAAGAGAAGCGACCUCGCGAGAGCAAGCGGACCUCAUAAAGUGCGUCGUAGUCCGGAUUGGAGUCUGCAACUCGACUCCAUGAAGUCGGAAUCGCUAGUAAUCGUGGAUCAGAAUGCCACGGUGAAUACGUUCCCGGGCCUUGUACACACCGCCCGUCACACCAUGGGAGUGGGUUGCAAAAGAAGUAGGUAGCUUAACCUUCGGGAGGGCGCUUACCACUUUGUGAUUCAUGACUGGGGUGAAGUCGUAACAAGGUAGCCGUA